UGUGCUUUGGGAUGUAUCUUCUUCAACAUGUUUCUUUUUGCUCAGAUACACCAUGAAGCAUGGGUGAGAUUUGUCAUCCUCAGCAUCAUUGUAGUUGGUACUUAUGCAUUUUAUGGGCAAUAUCAUGCGGAUCCAAAUUCAGAGGAGAC